rnacentral:rRNA from 1 species
CACGUAGGGCGCAAGCGUUUGUCCGGAAUUAUUGGGCGUAAAGAGCUCGUAGGCGGUCUGUUGCGUCCGCUGUGAAAACUCGGGGCUUAACCCCGGGCGUGCAGUGGAUACGGGCUGGCUGGAGGCAGGCAGGGGAGAACGGAAUUCCCGGUGUAGCGGUGAAAUGCGUUGAGAUCGGAAGGAACGCCCGUGGCGAAAGCGAGGUCUGGACGUUUUCUGACGCUGAGACGCGAAAGCCAGGGGAGCGAACGGGG